AGUGAACGCUGGCGGCAUGCCUAAUACAUGCAAGUCGAACGAAGUGGCGCACGGGUGAGUAAUAUAUAGUUAAUCUGCCCUACACAGAGGAACAACAGUUGGAAACAACUGCUACUACCUCAUAGUGUAGGAUGAGACUAUAUCGUAUCAGCUAGUUGGUACGGUGGUGGCUUACCAAGGCGAUGACGCGUCACUGGUCUGAGAGGAUGAUCAGUCACCUGGGAACUGAGACACGGGCGAAAAAUCUUCGGGAGGGAGCAGAAAGGUAUAGUGCGCAAUGGGGGUAUCUCAGACGCGGCAACGCGGCGUGGAGGAUGACACUCUUCGGAGAGUAAACUCCUUUUAUCAGGAAAGCGGUACCUGCUGAAUAAGCACCGGCUAACUUCGUGCCAGCAGCCGCGGUAAUAC
rnacentral:rRNA from 1 species